rnacentral:lncRNA from 10 species
CGCCAUUCCAUGAUCAUUGGGUUAUCGUCUGCAUUCCUGACGUAGUGUUUACAGCUUCCUGCUUAUGGCAACAAGGAAGCAGAACGCAGAGUGAUGAGAGAUUUAUGUGGAUAUGAUAGCACUGGACACUUCGAGGCUCCAUUGGCAAAACAUGCGGCAAAUAGGAAACCAAGGGUAGACCUUUGACAUUUAAGAAGUAUAUGCCCUAAGAUUUCUACAGAUCCUGAAAUUCAUCACUACGGCAGAAUCACGCAUCUUAUGAAAACCAAGAAUAAAAUGACACCUGACAACCUUGCCAGCUCAGCACAUCUGGAGGCACUAAAUGUCUGACCCAGGAAAUGUGCAUCAAACUGACGGGUGAAUUGACUGCUGGGGAAAUGGGCUCAGGAGAUUAAAGGCCUGCUUAUUAAUGGAAAGAGCUUCCUCCCACACACAGAUAUAUAAAGCCGCCUCGCCAUUUCUUCCUUCCACCGUGACCCAUAGUCUUUCUGGGACAAGGGCUGAGAUUUCACAGCCGAGUUUUAAAGUUGCUGGGGAUGCUAACAACAGGGACUUUUAUGCUUGAAUUUCUGCUGCAAAUCAUACACCCUUGGACUCAGUCCACUAAGUCUAUAGAAUUAUCUGCAAAGCAAUGCAAUAGGAUAUACAAAUUUUUUGACUAUUUGUAUCGAAAAUAAAUCAGGACCUUGAACUAUAUAAAAAGCUAACACAUUAUCAUGAAAACUCUGCAUGAAUACUGAUAAAACAUACUGGAUGCCCUUUGACUCUUACAGUCCUUGUUCUCAUCUUUUUGCUUAUAUCCAUUUCUCUUUUCAAUUAAUUUGGAAUAAUUUUGCUUGAAUAAUAAUCUGAUAGUAACUUCAUUAUUUCUAAUUAUAUUAUCUUAAUGUGCAAAUUCAAUCAUUUUUGGCUUACAUUAACAAAGAUAAAAAUGUGUGACAGAGGUUAGUAAUAGAAGGUUAGUUUUACAUGAAAUGAGGACCAGAUAAAAGACCAGUACAAUGUUAUAUAUUUAUGUCCUUCACAUGAUAGGCAGACAUCAAUCCUUGAUGUCAUGUUCAAAUAAAGGACUUAUAUAUAUGCAUAGUGACAAAGCACUAUGCAUAUGUAUAUGCAUGGGAACAAUGGAGAGAAGUUCAGUGAGAGAAUUCCCAAUUGUAUUAAUUACUACAAACAUUUAUUGAAUAAAAUGUGCAGCACUUAUAGAACAUUUUUCCUAUGGGAUAAGUUGCCAAUCCAUACUUCAUUGUUGUUGCUGUAUCAGCUCAGACUCUUUGAAGUUAGUCUUAUUUAUUCACUUUUUUAGCGGAUCUACAGGGGUUAUGUAAGUUGGCUAAACUCACUCAACUAGUAAGACAUAUACAAAGGAUGUAAACUACGUUUAUGAGGUAAGAAAGACUAUGAUUUUGCUUUUAUUACUGCGACUAGGACCCUCUGGGGAUACAAAAGCUAUGAUAAAAAAAAUUCAUUAGCCUGUGUGUCUAAUAUGGCCCUCAAAGUAGUAUUAUCAUUUGCAAUUAACUAUAACACUGAAUCGUAUUCUUCAAAUGCAAACCAUGGGCCUUGCAGAGCCUUUAUAGAUGCUCUGUGGCACAGCACUUAUUUAGUCUGUCUCUUUAAUUAACCUGAUCCAAAUGUGACAUUAAUAAAUUGUUCUUUGUGAACCGAAAAGUCGUAAUUACUCAGAAAGGACAUGCUUAAUUGUCCUUUAUCUUUAGCCUACCACUAUACACAUCCAACAAAUCAGGUCAAAAUUCUCAAUUCAAUUUCCAAAUAAUUCAUAAUAUUUUUAUUUACUAUAGCAUAACCUGGUCAGGCAUGGUGGCUCAGGCCUG